UUUUUUUUUCCUUUUUUUUUUUUUUUUCCAUUGUUGUACAAAUAUAUCAAGGCAGACAUUUGUUAAGGUUGAAAUAACCUGGAAAUGAAUCACUGUGCAUAUGCUUAGAGUGAUUUACAUGCCAUAUAUGUAGUGCAGGGAUGGGAAGUAGAGGAUUUGUUUUCCAUGUUGCAGUAAGGGAGAGAUACAUGGUUAUUCUGUCUGAUGAAAGAUUUUGAUGCUUUGCUGCUCUGUUUCAAUAUGUUUUGAAAUUAACACUUUGUUUUUUGGAAGACUUUUUCUCCUUGGUAGGGGAUGUUCAGAUUCAUCUAUGCUGAAAAAUCACAUCAGGGAAAAAAUGACAUGUUUGGGGAAAUCUGGUAGCUCAUAUCUAACACUGAAAUACCUGCAGAACCUUGCCAGAAAUAAAGCCUUCUCCACAAUAAUAUGUUGAUGUGAUCAAAACUAUUCAGUGCUUAAACAAAAUAAAAUAUUAAGCAUAAUCACAGCAAGGACUUGUAAUUAUAGCAAAGCCUACUCAAUCCUACCCUUUCUACUUGAUUGGCAUCACAGAGAUGGCUUGUUUGGAUUCACAGUGGGAGGGGUACCAACAAUGUUAGACAGAGCAAUGGUAUGGAUCCUGUCAUGGGUUUCUCUGACCAGUCCUAUGGUACCAUCAUUAUCAAAAGCUCUGACUAAAUACGAAGAUAAGCACAGCUCCUCUCUUCCCCCAACCAGCCUGUCUUUUGUGCAGGAAAGGCAACAUUUUACCUCUGCAGUCAUAAAAUGGUCCUUAAACAUUUCAUUUUCCAUAUGACAUUGAUUCAAAUUUUUCUCCCACUUAGAAACAAUCCCUCAAACACACACAUUUACUUUAAACAUAAGCACCAAAAUUUGUUCAAUUAAAUCCUUAUUUUGCAAAGGGAAACCCAGCAGUGAUUUUUACUUUUUAAACCCAUUUUCUAUUUCUAGGAAACUUCAAUGAACCAUUUUACAGCACGAUGAUAGUGCAAUGGGAAUAACUUGUAUUCAAGAUGAUUAGACAACCACUAACAUAAGGCACUACUGAAUUUCUCAACCCUGCGGGCAACAGAAAUGGCAGAGCAGAUUUUAGGGAAAUUUUACACAUUAGUACAUAAACAGUCUGUCAAGAAAUCGCACCCUUCAGAUGUCUGUUUCUGACAGUCUUCAAGACAUUUAAAAAAAUCAUAAAUGUGAUUUGCAAUAGAGACAUUUACUAGCCUUAAUAUACAGAGACUGUCAUCACUAGGCAUAUCCAGGAAUGUCAAGUGAAGAUUAUUAGAGUCUGAAAUGCCGGUACAGCAGGAUGGUGUGUAUGAGUAUAUGUUACCCAAAAGAUCAUGAACUUCUCUGCUCAAUGACUGGUUUGAUCUUUAGCCCACAACCCUGUGUAUUGUGGUCCUCCUUGCUUUGACAAUGUGUAGGCAUAACUGUAAACUGAAAGUCAGGGGUCUAUGGAAAGGGUCAGUAAAAUAAGAAAACUGGAGCUUUGUGGAAUUUAACAUGAAUUAUUAAAAGGAAUGAAAAGCUGGCACAGAGAUCAGACAGAAUUUAAAGAAGUACUGAAGGGAGGGGAGAAAUAGGACUGAAAUAAAAGGUGAGAAGAUGAAGAAUCUGGACCACACUUGUACAAAAGGCAGGGAGUUUAGUUUCAUUGACUGAUUUGAAUGAUAUGUUACUACAAGGUAUUCCAUAUUUAGGUCAGUAUGUCCAGGCAGCAGCUAACAAAAGGUGUGCAUAGGCUGCAGAAGGAUGAAGCUUCAAACCAGGUUUUUAAGGAUAGACAUUUAGAUUACAAGAAAUCAAGGGUGAAGCAAGAAACUGUAGAAAUGGAAUCCAAAUCACAUGUCCAGAUGUAGAGAUGCUCUCUCCCUUGGUCAUGCAGUCACAUUGUUUGCCUUGGAAUCAGCGUAUCUGCGGCUGACUCGGAGGUCUCAGGAGUCACUGUUAUCAAACUGAUACCUUUCAGGUCAUUACAGUCAAUAAUUCUUUUUUUAAGUAUCAAAAAAGAAAGAAAACAAAGUGAAAUGAUUAAAAAGCCAAUUAGCAGAUCAAAGUGUGAGAAGCCAACUCCUAGAGGGGAAAAAGAAUGCAUGUAUGGUAAUUUAGGCAGUGAGGAAGAUAAUUAGAACAGGAUAGUGAUAAUGGGAUAAGCUGGGGAUCAAAAACGUUGAUUAGAGUUGAUUAGAAAUAAAGGAAAAGAAAAUUAAGGAAAAUUUUAAUGACUCUUUGCAGAAAACACUUAACCGUAUAAAUAUUAUAUUCCAGGUCGGAUGGAACCCUGGCAACCUGAUCUAGUGGCUGACAACCCUGUCCACCCCAGGGGAGUUGGAACUGGAUGAUCUUUAGGUCAUUCCAAUACAAGCCAUUCUAUGAUUCUGUUAGAAAGAAAACUUGUCUAGAGACCACCCUAACUUCUUUGUACGGACAGUGCUGAUCCAUCAUUCUUAAAACACCAUUGUUUUCAACCUUUUCCCUGAGAAGUGUUUCAGUGCCUCUGAUGCACAUAGCUUUUGGAAUGGGGAGGUGGCUGUGAAAAAUUUAUGUCAAACUGUAAGUAGAAAUUUAAGAUGUUAAAGGCAGAAUUUCCCAUCUCAUCCUUCUUUAUCUUGUGCAGAAUUUUACUUCUCUUUCUCAUCAGAGGUCUCAGAGUUUUGGUGUUAAACUUUGAAGCCUGAUUCACUUUCAAAAUUUUAUUUCCCUUGACUUCCUUCCAAAUUCUUUCCUCCCCUCUAGUUCUCAGAGCUCUAGCUUUCUCUGAUCUUGGCCAAAAUUUCUCUUGGCCUUUCUUCUCUUGUUGUGAGCUCUCUCACUCCAUGCUUGCCUGAACUCCUGAUCUUAUCCCUGCUGUUGUCCAUUUGAUCAAAACAUGUUAUUCAUGGACUUACUGCAGAUGGGGCAAGAAUGAGGGGAAACAGAAAACUUACUUUUUGCUGCAAGGCUUCCAAAAAGACCACCCUCAAGCUUUGGCUCCAAGUGCUUCACAGC
ensembl:lncRNA